ACCUGCGCUCCCCUCAGCCGCCCGCCCGCCCGCCUCCCCUCAGCCGCAACGGCCCCGCUGGGUGCCCGGCCCCGCAGAAACCUCUGUAAAUGUGGCGGACCCCCUGCCUUUCGGAGGGCCCCGGCUGCCGCGGCCCGUGCCGCAGCCGCGGCCCCGGCCUGGCCCGUGUGAGGCGUAGCGGACAGGUUAAGAAUGCUUGGACAAGAUCAUUCUGAAGAGCAGCAUGGUACAACGUGCUAGCUUCUCUAGCUAUGCAGAACAACAUACCAGUGUCUGAGUGCCUGUGACAGAAGUUCUCCAAGACUUAUCCUGAAAUUUACCUGACACCCUCACAGAAGAGAAGACAGUAAAAUAAUCUGAUGUUUUCACCACAAAAUGAGGAAGUCAUCUUUAACUUUCCUCAACGAAUUUUAUUGUCAUAUGACAAUAUGAUUGAGUCAUUUGAGCCUGCUAGAAAUAGUCAGAUUGAUUGUUACCCUUGACCUCUGAGAACUCCUAAAAAUUGUGCUGUACCAGUGUACAUAUGAACUAAAACCGGUUACACUGGUACAACUGGAGCCAGGUGAUGAAUUCUGGUAAUCUCCUACCUAACAAGUAAACAGCAUCAAUUUUACAUCUGAAGAUUUUUUUU